GCUAUACAUGCAGUCGAGCGACUGAUUAGAAGCUUGCUUCUAUGACGUUAGCGGCGGACGGGUGAGUAACACGUGGGCAACCUGCCUGUAAGACUGGGAUAACUUCGGGAAACCGAAGCUAAUACCGGAUAGGAUCUUCUCCUUCAUGGGAGAUGAUUGAAAGAUGGUUUCGGCUAUCACUUACAGAUGGGCCCGCGGUGCAUUAGCUAGUUGGUGAGGUAACGGCUCACCAAGGCAACGAUGCAUAGCCGACCUGAGAGGGUGAUCGGCCACACUGGGACUGAGACACGGCCCAGACUCCUACGGGAGGCAGCAGUAGGGAAUCUUCCGCAAUGGACGAAAGUCUGACGGAGCAACGCCGCGUGAGUGAUGAAGGCUUUCGGGUCGUAAAACUCUGUUGUUAGGGAAGAACAAGUACAAGAGUAACUGCUCGUACCUUGACGGUACCUAACCAGAAGGCCACGGCUAACUACAUGGCAGUUGCCCCGUUAAUUCCUAGCUGGCAAGAAUAAAUCCAGGAAGUAUUGGGCG
rnacentral:rRNA from 2 species